rnacentral:rRNA from 1 species
AAUGAACGUUGGCGGCGUGGAUUAGGCAUGCAAGUCGUACGCAUAGCUUCGGCUAUGAGUGGCGCAAGGGUGAGUAAUGCGAAGGUAACCAACCCUGGUGUUGGGCAUAGCCGCGGGAAACUGCGGGUAAUUCCCAGCGACGUCACGAGAUGGCAUCAUCUUGUGACCAAAGGUGUGAUUCCGCUCUAGGACGGGCCUUCGUGGUAUUAGGUAGUUGGUGAGGUAACGGCUCACCAAGCCGACGAUGCCUACCGGGUGUGAGAGCAUGACCCGGCACACUGGAACUGAGACACUGUCCAGACACCUACGGGUGGCUGCAGUCGAGAAUCUUCGGCAAUGGGCGAAAGCCUGACCGAGCGACGCCGCGUGAGGGAUUGAAGGCCUUCGGGUUGUAAACCUCUUUCGUGGGGGGAGCAAGGCGUAAGCUUGAGCGAGCCCCAGAGGAAGCACGGGCUAAGUUCGUGCCAGCCGCCGCGGUAACAC